CCUACGGGAGGCUACAGUGGGGAAUAUUGGGCAAUGGAGGAAACUCUGACCCAGCAACGCCGCGUGAAUGAUGAAGGUCUUCGGAUUGUAAAGUUCUUUUCUAAGGGAAGAAGAAAAUGACGGUACCUGACCAAGAAGCCCCGGCUAAAUACGUGCCAGCAGCAGCGGUAAUACGUAUGGGGCAAGCGUUAUCCGGAUUUACUGGGUGUAAAGGGAGCGUAGGCGGCAGGGCAAGCCUGACGUGAAAGACCGGGGCUAAACCCCGGGACUGCAUUGGGAACUGCCUUUGAAACUGGCAAACUGGAGUGUGUGAGAGGAUAGUGGAAUUCCAGGUGUAGGAGUGAAAUCCGUAGAUAUCUGGAGGAACAUCAGUGGCGAAGGCGACUAUCUGGCACAGAACUGACGCUGAGGAGCGAAAGCGUGGGUAGCAAACAGGAUUAGAUACCCCUGUAGUC
rnacentral:rRNA from 1 species